rnacentral:rRNA from 1 species
UGCGAGUGAUAAGAUCCGUAGUCGAAAGGGAAACAGCCCAGACCACCAGUUAAGGUCCCCAAAUAUAUGUUAAGUGGAAAAGGAUGUGGGGUUGCUUAGACAACCAGGAUGUUGGCUUAGAAGCAGCCACCAUUGAAAGAGUGCGUAAUAGCUCACUGGUCGAGUGACCCCGCGCCGAAAAUGUACCGGGGCUAAACAUAUUACCGAAACUGUGGAUGAACCUCUUCGGAGGUUCGUGGUAGGAGAGCGUUCUAAGGGCGGUGAAGUCAGACCGGAAGGACUGGUGGAGCGCUUAGAAGUGAGAAUGCCGGUAUGAGUAGCGAAAGAAGGGUGAGAAUCCCUUCCACCGAAUAUCUAAGGUUUCCUGAGGAAGGCUCGUCCGCUCAGGGUUAGUCGGGACCUAAGCCGAGGCCGAUAGGCGUAGGCGAUGGACAACAGGUAGAGAUUCCUGUACCAGUGCUAAUUGUUUAACCGAUGGGGUGACACAGAAGGAUAGGGAAUCGCACGAAUGGAAAUGUGCGUCCAAGCAGUGAGUGUGAGAAGUAGGCAAAUCCGCUUCUCGCGAAGCAUGAGCUGUGAUGGGGAAGGAAAUUAAGUACGGAAGUUCCUGAUUUCACGCUGUCAAGAAAAGCCUCUAGGAAGAGUAGUACUGCCCGUACCGCAAACCGACACAGGUAGAUGAGGAGAGAAUCCUAAGGUGAGCGAGAGAACUCUCGUUAAGGAACUCGGCAAAAUGACCCCGUAACUUCGGGAGAAGGGGUGCUCUAUUAGGGUGCAAGCCCGAGAGAGCCGCAGUGAAUAGGCCCAGGCGACUGUUUAGCAAAAACACAGGUCUCUGCAAAACCGUAAGGUGACGUAUAGGGGCUGACGCCUGCCCGGUGCUGGAAGGUUAAGAGGAGUGCUUAGCUUCGGCGAAGGUACGAAUUGAAGCCCCAGUAAACGGCGGCCGUAACUAUAACGGUCCUAAGGUAGCGAAAUUCCUUGUCGGGUAAGUUCCGACCCGCACGAAAGGCGCAACGAUCUGGGCACUGUCUCAACGAGAGACUCGGUGAAAUUAUAGUACCUGUGAAGAUGCAGGUUACCCGCGACAGGACGGAAAGACCCCGUGGAGCUUUACUGCAACCUGAUAUGGAAUGUUUGUACCGCUUGUACAGGAUAGGUAGGAGCCGAAGAGACGUGUGCGCUAGCAUACGAGGAGGCAAUGGUGGGAUACUACCCUGGCUGUAUGACCAUUCUAACCCGCCACGCUUAGCGCGUGGGGAGACAGUGUCAGGUGGGCAGUUUGACUGGGGCGGUCGCCUCCUAAAGAGUAACGGAGGCGCCCAAAGGUUCCCUCAGAAUGGAUGGAAAUCAUUCGCAGAGUGUAAAGGCACAAGGGAGCUUGACUGCGAGACUGACAAGUCGAGCAGGGACGAAAGUCGGGCUUAGUGAUCCGGUGGUUCCGCAUGGAAGGGCCAUCGCUCAACGGAUAAAAGCUACCCCGGGGAUAACAGGCUUAUCUCCCCCAAGAGUCCACAUCGACGGGGAGGUUUGGCACCUCGAUGUCGGCUCGUCGCAUCCUGGGGCUGUAGUCGGUCCCAAGGGUUGGGCUGUUCGCCCAUUAAAGCGGCACGCGAGCUGGGUUCAGAACGUCGUGAGACAGUUCGGUCCCUAUCCGUCGCGGGCGCAGGAAAUUUGAGAGGAGCUGUCCUUAGUACGAGAGGACCGGGAUGGACACACCGCUGGUGUACCAGUUGUUCCGCCAGGAGCAUCGCUGGGUAGCUAUGUGUGGCAGGGAUAAACGCUGAAAGCAUCUAAGCGUGAAGCCCCCCUCAAGAUGAGAUUUCCCAUUUCUUCGGAAAGUAAGAUCCCUGAAAGAUGAUCAGG